rnacentral:miRNA from 1 species
AGGUGAGAGGAUGGCUUGAGCCUGGGAGGUGGAGGUUGCAGUGAACUGAAAUCAGGCCACUGCACUCCAGCCUGGGCAACAGAGCCAGACCCUGUCUC